rnacentral:rRNA from 1 species
GCCUACGGGACGCAGCAGUGGGGGAUAUUGCACAAUGGGGGGAACCCUGAUGCAGCGACGCCGCGUGGGUGAAGGAGUAUUUCGGUAUGUAAAGCCCUAUCGGCAGGGAAGAAGCAAGACGGUACCUGACUAAGAAGCCCCGGCUAGCUACGUGCCAGCAGCCGCGGUAAUACGUAGGGGGCGAGCGUUAUCCGGAUUCACUGGGUGUAAAGGGAGCGUAGACGGCCAUGCAAGCCAGGGGGGAAAGCCCGGGGCCCAACCCCGGGACUGCCCUUGGAACUGCCUGGCUGGUGUGCGGGAGGGGC